CUACAGACUGCCAGCAUGACAGAAGGACAGGUCAUCUCGAGUCUUCAUGAGUGGUGAUGGAGGGGCAUCCCAACCCUCUUCUAUGUUUGAAGAAGUCAGGACCACCAAGGCAUCAUCGGGCACCUCUGUGAAAGGGAUCUGUAUCUGUAUCAAGAUACUCUGAAGAAUAGCAACUACCCUUGGGAAUGUCUCUUGUUACAAAAUGACUAAAAUGAAGUCUGGCAUCUUCCAUUUUGCCACCAUCUUCAUAUUAACACUUGAGAUCAGAAUCCAAUUAUCUGAUGAAAGUGAAUUUUUAGUUGAUAGAUCAAAAACAGGUCUCAUCUGUGUUCCCAAAGACCUACCCCUGAAAACAACAGUCUUAGAUAUAUCACAAAACUCUAUUUCUGAGCUUCGGGCACCUGACAUCCUAUCACUAUCAAAACUGAAAAUUUUGAUACUUUCUCAUAAUAGAAUCCAGUAUCUUGAUAUCAGUGUUUUCAAAUUCAACCAGGAAUUAGAAUACUUGGAUUUGUCCCACAACAAGCUGGAGCAGAUUUCUUGCCACCCUAUUCUGAACCUCAAGCACUUAGACCUCUCAUUUAAUGCAUUUGAUGCCCUGCCCAUUUGCCAAGAGUUUGGCAACAUGUCUCAACUACAGUUUCUGGGGUUGAGUGCCACACAGUUUCAAAAACCUAGUCUGCUGCCAAUUGCUCAUAUGCAUAUCAAUAAGGUUUUACUGGUCUUAGGAGACACUUACGGGGGAAAAGAAGACCCUGAGAGCCUUCAAGACCUGAACAUACAGAGUCUGCACAUUGUUUUCCCCACAGGAAAGGAAUUCCAUUUUACUUUGGACGUGUCACUCAGCACUGCAGUAAGUCUGGAACUGUCUAACAUCAAAUGUGUUCUGGGUGAUGAUGGAUGUCCUUAUUUCCACAAUGUUCUGUCAAAACUCCAAAAGAAUUCAAGGUUAUCAAAUCUUACUUUAAACAACAUUGAAACAACUUGGAAUUUUUUCAUCAUGAUCCUCCAGUUGGUUUGGCAUACGAGCAUUGAGUAUUUCUCAAUUUCAAAUGUGAAACUACAAGGUCACCUUGGCUUCAGAGAUUUUGAUUAUUCUGACACUUCACUGAAGGUCUUGUCUAUACACCAAGUCGUCACUGAUGUGUUUGGGUUUCCACAAAGUUAUAUCUAUGAAAUCUUCUCAAAUAUGAACAUCCAACAUCUCGCAGUGUCUGCUACACACAUGGUCCACAUGGUUUGCCCAUCCCAAAUUAGCCCAUUUCUGUAUUUGGAUUUUUCCAAUAAUGUCUUAACAGACAUGGUUUUUAAAAAUUGUGGAAAUCUGAUUAAUUUGGAGACAUUCAGUUUACAAAUGAAUCAGUUAAAAGAACUUGCAAUUAUAGUUCAUAUGACCAAGACAAUGACAUCUCUACAACAAUUGGAUGUUAGCCAGAAUUCUCUAAGGUAUGAUGAAAAUGAAGGAAAUUGCUCUUGGACUAGAAGUUUAUUAAGUUUAAAUAUGUCUUCAAAUAUACUUACUGACUCUGUUUUCAGAUGUUUACCUCCCAGGGUCAAGGUUCUUGAUCUUCACAAUAACAGAAUAAGGAGCAUCCCUAAAGAUGUCACCAGUCUAGAAGCUUUGCAAGAGCUCAAUGUUGCUUUCAAUUUUUUAGUCCACCUUCCUGGAUGUGGUACCUUUAGCAGCCUUUCUGUACUGAUCAUUGACUAUAAUUCAAUUUCCAACCCAUCAGCUGAUUUCUUCCAGAGCUGCCAGAAGAUUAGGUCCCUAAAAGCAGGGAACAAUCCAUUCCAAUGUACAUGUGAGCUAAGAGACUUUAUCCAGGGUAUAGGCCAAGUACCAAGUGAAGUGGUAGAGGACUGGCCUGAUUCUUAUAAGUGUGACUAUCCAGAAAGCUAUAAGGGAACCCCACUAAAGGACUUCCACGUAUCUCAAUUAUCCUGCAACACAACUCUGCUGAUUGUCACCAUUGGGGUCACUGGGCUGCUGGUGGCUGUUACUGUGACCGUCCUCUGUAUCUACUUGGAUCUUCCCUGGUAUCUCAGGAUGCUGUGUCAGUGGACCCAGACCCGGCACAGGGCUAGGAAUGUACCCUUAGCAGAACUCCAAAGAACUCUCCAGUUCCAUGCUUUUAUUUCAUACAGUGGGCACGAUUCUUCAUGGGUAAAGAGUGAAUUACUACCAAACCUAGAAAAAGAAGAUAUAAAGAUUUGUCUUCAUGAGAGGGAUUUUGUUCCCGGCAAGAGCAUCAUGGAAAAUAUCAUAAACUGUAUUGAGAAAAGUUACAAGUCCAUCUUUGUCUUGUCUCCCAACUUUGUUCAGAGCGAGUGGUGCCAUUAUGAACUCUACUUCGCCCACCACAACCUCUUCCAUGAAGGAUCCAAUAACUUAAUCCUGAUCUUGCUGGAUCCCAUUCCACAGUAUUCCAUUCCUAACAGCUAUCACAAGCUCAAAGCUCUCAUGGCACAGAGAACUUAUUUGGAAUGGCCCAAGGAGAAUAGCAAACAUGGACUUUUUUGGGCUAAUCUAAGAGCAUCUAUUAAUAUUAAAUUGAUGGAGAAAUCAAAAGAAUUAAGUUACACACAGAUCUAAAAAUAUUCCUCUGCUGCUUUUAGAAAAAAUGUUGCUGCUUUUGCAAGUUCCAACAAUGACUUUAUUUUGCAUUAACACGAAUCUAAACAUGACUUUAAAUUUAAGAUGUAGACAAAAAUGUGUACAUCCUCUCAGGCCUCAGUUCCCCAUUUAUACAUGGUUAUUCCAAGAUAUUGAACAUAGUUCCCUGUGCUAUACUGAAGAAACUUUUUUCUUUUUGUCAACAAAGUUUCUAGGUGUGGGGUUAUCACCUUGUAUUUUCAAGUAAAGCCACUUGAGUGCCCAGCCUUAGGAAAGCUGUCCCUCCUGAGGAUUUCAGAGGCAUUCUGAACUCCCGGCCACCUCUCCUGUGCUUCCUGGACUGUGUCUUCUGUGGCUCCCCAACACUGUGGACCAGCUCACCCCUGCCUUCCUUGGGUGUUUCAGAGCUCUCUAAUAGACUUCAUCUUCAUACUAGGACACAGUUGCUUCCUGAAUUCCCCAAGUUAACACCCACACAAGUGGAUGACAACCCUUAAUAAAAAGCCAUGAUCAAAGUUAAUCAACAAGGUCCCAGGCACCAUGCCUUUGAGAGGCAAGGGACAGGAGUGCUGCAUGUUGAUGAUGUGGUCACAGACAGGCCCAUGAAGAUGUUCACCCUUCUUCCCGGAAGUUCAGUAUGUCUUAGAACUUAAAUAUGAUAGUCCCCUCCCCCAAAGAAAUGAGAGCCUAAAUCUGGGAGAUCCACAUCUAUCUCUUUCUGGAACUAAAUGUUUAUUUGUUUUUUCGAAAUAUAAUUCAGGGAACAUAACCUCUGUCACUAUUUUCUCUUACUAGAGGAGCGCCACCCAAUCAACACGCGCUUCACACUAGACUCCCAGACCGCAGAGGGGCAAUGGGGGAAGCAGCGGGCCCGGCUGGCUGACUCUGUGCACUUGAUAUUCCUGCCUGCUUGCAUCAGGGGAGGCUCUAGCAGGGGCAACACACAAAGGAAGCCCGCAGACUAUUGGGUGGUCCAGGGGCCCCCUGCCCAAUAGAGAUGCUCCAUUUUGGAUGGUGAGAAAAAGAGGAGCCAAUCAGAUUUCUUAUCUUGGGGGCUGUACCCUCAGGAUGAGCUUCAGUGCUGCCCACCAGCCGUGAUACUGAGAAAGGCAGGAAGAAAGUGGGAAGAAAGAGGCAAAGGCAGCAGGAAAGAGAAGCUGGGAGUAAAAAGAGAAGCAGGCUGAGAAAGAAAGAGUCAAAGAGAAGCUGAGUCAGAACUAGAGUAGAGAAGAGCCCUUUGCCCAAUUUGGAGGGUAGCAAGCCCGCCUUCCAGGUCUCUGUGAAGCCUGCCUGUGUGCCGCUGGGCUCCCUCACUUCCUGUGGGUUCUCUUUUUUUCUGUAGUGUCUUUAAAAUAAACCUCCAUCCAGUUGAGGUAACCCAAAGUUCUCUGUUGGUUCCAAGUUAUAUGGCAGGCAGAAGUCUGAAAUCAGGGGAUGGCAUGAGGGAGGAAAUGUAUGAGAGAGAGAGAGAGGGAGGGAGGGAGGGAGGGAGAGAGAGAGAGAGAGAUGGGGGCAUAUCAUGUCAGAUAUCUAUGAAGCUCAGAGCAAGAGGAGAAGGGGGAAAAAGGAGGGUAAAGUGGAUAAGAAUGUUUUUUGAGAAUGAAAAAUAUUACUAGCUAAAGAUGUCAGCACAUAUGGUUCUGAGCAUACUGUUAUUGCUUAUUGCAAAUAAGGGUUUAAAGAUUUUAGAAAUUCCAGGUGAUGGCAGAGGGAAUAGUAUUUAAACUGUUGGGCACCUGAAGCAAACAUUGUGGGCUUCAGAGCCAGAUAGACUCAAGUUUUGAAUCUUGAUUCCACUUCUUACGGGAUGAUGACCUUGGGCAAGUUUCUUGUUCUCUCUGAACCAGACUCAUCUGUCAAGUGGGAAUCAUAUGUAUGUUCUAUGUAGUUUGCAGUGAGGAUUCAACAGUAUCUUGUUUGUAACACUUGCUGCCCUUGGGAAGAAGGCAAGCGGUAGUGAUCACGAUGGGGAUGAUGACAACACAGAAUACUACUCUCUAACUUGGCUUCUUUCUGGAAAUUAAAUUGAAAAAAAAUAAGUAAAGAAAAAUUCCACAUUCACUGACCGUGUAAAGUGUUUAAAAAUGUUGGGCUCUGAAAAAAAUGUGUCUUUGGACACCAAAAACCCCAAGUGAUUAUUUUUCCUUGACAGGGAUGUUUAGAAUGUGAGAGUGCUGAUUGUAGUCAUUUGAGAAUUCUUGAGAUGAAGGGAAUGUUAGCGCCUAGUUCGUGCAACAAGCUAGGAAUGCUCUCCAGCACUCUUGCUGGGCACGGGCCCGGGCCCGGUACUUGUUUCCAGGUGUAGACGGUUUCGUCUCUGUGAAGGUGGCAGCAGAGCGGACUGUAUCUGUUGUGUUUUUCUUUAAACAGUUAUUCAUUGUGUGAUUUUCUCUCUACAAUAUACAUACAAAUACACGUUAUUACAUUUUGACUAAAAAUCCCCAAUAUGAUUGUGAAAAACUAUUUUGUUUUAAGGACCCCCCCCCACACAAUUUCAUAUUUACAUAAACUUAUUAUAAUUAUUCAGUUUCAAACUGACUAUUCCUCCCAUGGACAAAUCCAUUUGGAAAUUUUCACCUUCCUCAGUGAGCUCCAGCAGUGUCAGCUGAAUCUAAAGUCAAGCAUAAGUAAAACUUCAAAAAUUGAUGCUUUGAAAAAAUUGACCUCUUCUCUGCACACUACAUUAAAAAAUACCACGCUUGUGUUACCACUUCAUUUCAAGACGAGGCCUCUGGCCCUUCCCACUCUCUCCCAAUCAGACUGCUGAAAUUUUGCAGCCACCGUUUUCAUUUCUUCUCAUCACCACUUGGCCUUCCCACCCAGUUUGAAGGGCAGGAUGACUGAUGUGAACCUUGAAGUGAAGCACCAUCAAAGUGCUGUAAGCUGCUGUGGGAAACAGUAUGGCAGCUCUGCAAAAAUUCAGACACAGAAUUGCCGUAGGGUCCAGCAGGUCCGCUUCAAGGCAUCUACCCUGAAGAACUGAAAGCAGGGACUUGAACAGAUAAUUGUACACAUCCAUGUCCAUAGAAGCACUAUUCACAGUAGUCAAAGGGUGAAAACAACCCAAAUACCCAUUGAUGGAUGAAUGGAUAAGCAAAAUGUGGUAUACACACGCAAUGGAAUAUUUUUCAGCCUUAAACAGGAAAGGAAGGAAAUUGUGAUACAUACUACAACAUGGAAGAAUAUUGAACACAUUAUGCUAAAUGAAAUAAGGCAAUCACACGAAUGUAUGAUUCCACUUAUUUGAGGUGCCUAGAGUAGUCAAAUCUGUAGAGACAGAAAGUAGAACAGUGGUUACGGGGGAGCUGAAGGGAGGAAAAAGUGGGGAGUUGUUGUUUAAUGGGUACAGAGUUUCAGUGUGGGAUGAUGAGAGAGUCCUGAAGCUGGGUGGUGCUGAUGGUUGAACGACUAUGUGAAUGUACUAAAAGCCACUGAACUGUACACUUAAAAUGGUUAAAAUGGUAGAUUUUAUGUCGUGUGUAUUUUCCUGCAAUUCUUUAAAAAGU